AGAGUUUGAUCCUGGCUCAGAUUGAACGCUGGCGGCAGGCCUAACACAUGCAAGUCGAGCGGUAGAGAGAAGCUUGCUUCUCUUGAGAGCGGCGGACGGGUGAGUAAUGCCUAGGAAUCUGCCUGGUAGUGGGGGAUAACGCUCGGAAACGGACGCUAAUACCGCAUACGUCCUACGGGAGAAAGCAGGGGACCUUCGGGCCUUGCGCUAUCAGAUGAGCCUAGGUUCGGAUUAGCUACGUUGGUGAGGUAAUGGCUCACCAAGGCGACGAUCCGUAAUGGCUCACCAAGGCGACGAUCCGUAACUGGUCCGAGAGGAUGAUCAGUCACACUGGAACUGAGACACGGUCCCAGACUCCUACGGGAGGCAGCAGUGGGGAAUAUUGGACAAUGGGCGAAAGCCUGAUCCAGCCAUGCCGCGUGUGUGAAGAAGGUCUUCGGAUUGUAAAGCACUUUAAGUUGGGAGGAAGGGCAUUAACCUAAUACGUUGGUGUCUUGAUGUUACCGACAGAAUAAGCACCGGCUAACUCUGUGCCAGCAGCCGCGGUAAUACAGAGGGUGCAAGCGUUAAUCGGAAUUACUGGGCGUAAAGCGCGCGUAGGUGGUUCGUUAAGUUGGAUGUGAAAUCCCCGGGCUCAACCUGGGAACUGCAUUCAAAACUGACGAGCUAGAGUAUGGUAGAGGGUGGUGGAAUUUCCUGUGUAGCGGUGAAAUGCGUAGAUAUAGGAAGGAACACCAGUGGCGAAGGCGACCACCUGGACUGAUACUGACACUGAGGUGCGAAAGCGUGGGGAGCAAACAGGAUUAGAUACCCUGGUAGUCCACGCCGUAAACGAUGUCAACUAGCCGUUGGGAGCCUUGAGCUCUUAGUGGCGCAGCUAACGCAUUAAGUUGACCGCCUGGGGAGUACGGCCGCAAGGUUAAAACUCAAAGGAAUUGACGG
rnacentral:rRNA from 1 species